GAUGAUUUUACGUAGUUUUUUAUUUAUUUAUUGAUUUACUUGUAUUUGAUACGUACUAAUUUUCAUUCUAAACAUUUUUUAGAUACAUUUAGUGAGUUUUCCCCAUAUAAGUUCACGGCAAACUCGUCUCAAAGGAGCAUGUACGAGUAUAAUUAGACUUGGAGUCUAAUCUACGGAUUUGACCUCAGGAAAAAGUGGCAUCACUGGUUUGAUUGUUGACGAGUCUACACCGGGUGGCAAAACGUUCAAACGCGUGAAGCAGCAAUCAGCCGUCAUGGACGAACGUAAUUCGGUUGCUACAAAAACGAAAAAUCACGACAGUGAUAUCAAAGAAAUUCUUUUUAAUUACAUCACAAUAAUCGAAAUAGAGAGUGGUUAAAGAGAAACUGUCACUUGCUUAUACGCCCUAAUGAAAAAUCAACCGAGAAUUAAACAAUUUGACAUCUUUGCAUCCAUGCAGAGUGCGCAGCAGAUAUGCCAGGUGGCUGCUUUUCAGCACCGGACCACCAGUUCAGGGUCGUUUACCUUGUUGGUCUCCUGGAGAACCUUCACUUCACUAUUUUUAGGGCGGACUUUUCUUCCCACCUGUGGUCACUGAGCGAAUCGUUUGCGGCGGAAACAAGUUACACAAAAAUAAACAAAAUGGACGACACAGCUUGUAUAUAAAAAGACCGCACAAUUUUAAUCUUAGGCACUAUAUUUUGUAAUAAAAAAAACAAUAGAAUAUUAAA